UACGUAGGGCGCAAGCGUUGUCCGGAAUUAUUGGGCGUAAAGAGCUCGUAGGCGGCUUGUCACGUCGAUUGUGAAAGCCCGAGGCUUAACCUCGGGUCUGCAGUCGAUACGGGCUAGCUAGAGUGUGGUAGGGGAGAUCGGAAUUCCUGGUGUAGCGGUGAAAUGCGCAGAUAUCAGGAGGAACACCGGUGGCGAAGGCGGAUCUCUGGAACGCAACUGACGCUGAGACGCGAAAGCGUGGGGAGCAAACAGG
rnacentral:rRNA from 1 species